rnacentral:rRNA from 1 species
UUAUUUAUUUUAUUAUAUUUAUUUUUUGUUUAUUUAAUUAUUUAAUAAAAAUAAUUUUAUUGAAUUUUGUCUUAGUAUAUUUUGUAGAAUUGAUUUUUUAAAUUAUAGUUUAUUGGUAAUGUARUUGGUUUAUGAAACCUCUUGAAAAUACUUUGAGGUCUGGCCUGCUCMCUGAGCGGAUUUUUAAAGAGCCGCGGUAUUUUGACCGUGCAAAGGUAGCAUAAUCAUUAGUCUCUUAAUUAGUGGCUGGAAUGAAUGGCUUGACGAGAAAUCAACUGUCUCUUAAUAAAUUUUUGAAUUUAACUUUUGAGUCAAAAGGCUUAAAUUUUUCUUUAGGACGAGAAGACCCUAUAGAGCUUAACAUUUUACUUUUAUAUAGUUUUUUGUUUGUCUUUCUAUAUUUAAUGAUGAUGUUUUGUUGGGGUGACAUGAAGAAUAAAUAAACUCUUCAUUAUUAUAUCAUUUAUUUAUGUUUGUUGUUUUGAUCCAUAAUUUAUGAUCAUAAGAUUAAGUUACCUUAGGGAUAACAGCGUAAUUGUUUUUGAGAGCUCCUAUCSACAAAGCRGRKUGCGACCUCGAUGUUGGAUUAAGAAAAAUUUUGGGUGCAGUAGCCCAGUAAUUAGGUCU